CGACCAGAGUGGGAGAGCCGCUCACCCCUGGCCUGGCCCCUACGGAGCGUGCUUUUUAUUGGUUACCAAGUGCCGGAAGAAGCGCACCAAAGAAUCAAAAUAUUCUUCAUUAACCAGAUCGACCAAUAUAGCAGCAGCCAGCAGGCACUGAACGAGGGGACGUUUGCUUUAAAUCAAAAUGGCUGAGAUGGCCAGUUCUGCCAUUGUUGGGGAGGUAGUCAAUCGAAUAUUUUCCGGUAUCAU